CAGCAGCCGCGGUAAUACGGAGGGUGCAAGCGUUAAUCGGAAUUACUGGGCGUAAAGCGCACGCAGGCGGUCUGUCAAGUCAGAUGUGAAAUCCCCGGGCUUAACCUGGGAACUGCAUUUGAAACUGGCAGGCUAGAGUCUUGUAGAGGGGGGUAGAAUUCCAGGUGUAGCGGUGAAAUGCGUAGAGAUCUGGAGGAAUACCGGUGGCGAAGGCGGCCCCCUGGACAAAGACUGACGCUGAGGUACGAAAGCAUGGGGAGCAAACAGGAUUAGAUACCCCUGUAGUCCCUGUCUCUUAUAC
rnacentral:rRNA from 1 species